AUCCUCCCUAGCCCACCUCCUUCUCUCGGGUCCAUGCUUUCGGAGAGUGGGGUUGAUCCCCAAAGCGACCUCUCCCCGCCCUCCACAGAGAGUGAGGAGUAACGAAGACUCCCUUUUCUCCUACCUGAACCAGCCGAACCAUCUGUUGAGGCUUGGUGACGGUGGAUAAUUGCUGUACUAUGCAACCCACGAGGCAUUUGAUGAGAGAGAUGCUUUGAAGAUAAACGGAACGACGAAGGUCCAGCCCACGGGUACUCCCAGUCCAGUCUGUCUCCGGGAUCGGAAACGUGGCCACUUCUCGGUUCCUUCACUGCCACCCCCUCAUCCAGGCUGCCACGGGCCCUCGCCUGGGGAGCACCACCCGCCUCCUCUCGGCUCCGCCUGCGUCCGCCCUGCGUCCUAACCUCUUCUCCACUCGGCACAGCCACGAUCUAGUCGGACUGACGUCCACGGCACAGAAGAUCAGAUCGGGUCCCUCCUUUGUUCACAUCCCUCCAACGGCUCCAUCUCACCGAAUACCCAAACCCCUGCCCGUGACCUUGAGGGCCCUGCAUGCGCUCAGCCUGCCCAACUCACGGCUCGGCGCCCUCCCACCUGCUCCUGCCACCACCCCGGCCUCCACCUCACGGGCCUCCUGGGACACACGAGCUCCUUGCUGCCUCAGUCACUUCACUUGCUGUGUCCUCUGCCGGGAAGGUCUCGCGGCAGCUCUUCCUCGGGUCCCCAGCAAAUGCCACCUCUCCGGGCACGCCCUUUGUGCCCUCCUUGGCCCCUUGCUCCUAUCUUGUCACGUGAUAGUUACGAACGCUCUCAUUUGCCUUAUUAUCUGACUCCCCCACAGAACGUGAGGUCCCUCCACACAGGGACCUCGAGACCUUCUCGCUCCAAGGCUGGAUGCGAGCGGCAGAGAAGGGAGGGAUGAGCGAGCCCUCCUCUCAGAAGCAGGCAGCUCAGGGCCCGGAUCAGACCCGGAGGCUCGCUUUGAAGCUGGGAUAGUAACGGUUUCUUUCUUCUCAGGCUCAUCAAAAACUUGUUCGGCCCGUGGGAGCCUCACCAGUGCCCGAUGGUGACCGUAUCUGGGGCAGGCGUGUGAUGGCGUCGGCACGGGAGGCCACAGGGGUGGAGCUGUGAGCUAAACGUUAAGUUGGGGAGAGAGCUGGGCAGGCACCCAGGUGACCGUUUCUCAGUUGCCGGCUGUUUUCAGUACGCCGUGAUGUUUUAUUGGACUCUGCUGCCCCUCCCCCCACCCCAUUGCUCUAUUAUUUCUCUUAAUGAAAGGUCCGGAUUUGGAAACUGCUGCCUGUGUAGUCACAGAGUUGGUUAAAACAAACGAAAAACUCUGACAGACAAGGCCAGAGGCAGAGCAAGCCCUCAAUCUUGACUCUAAAGAAUCUUCUGGAAAUGACAGGGCCCAUGGGGA